AAAAUGACCAAUGGAGCAUAAUUUAUAACGAACUCGUUUAUUAACAUAAAAACCUUUACUGUCCACUUACCUCGGCGAGAUCCAUGAAAACAACAUAUGAAAACAAUAACCUUAUAAUAUCAUGAAAUCAUACACACUUUAUAACAUAACACAUAUCAUGCCUUUACAUUUCAAUCAUCAGAAAAUAGAUUUCCUCUUUUACCAGCCUACUAGUAUCCCUGGGGAUCCAUAGGAGAUCCCCACUACACGUGAACUAUUAACAUUUACAACUUGAUUCCAGGGCCAUCCCCAUACCCCGUCCGGUAUGGGCGCCAAAACCAUGAACCUCAAUACCCCGUCCGGUAUGAGGGUGAACGGGCCGUCCCCAUACCUUGUCCGGUAUGGGCACUAAAACACAUAAGGUCUCCAUACCCCGUCUGGUAUGAGAGACCACGUUCCCGGUAGGGUUCCCUACAGACCCGGUCCGUCCACCAUCUCCUAGGAUAUCUAGUCAGGCUGUCCACAUUUUCCACUUAUCAAUUCACAUAACAUUUUUGCCUUUUUCCUUAAUCUCAAUCAUCCAAUCAUACACAACAUAUAAACCAGUAAUUGACACCAAAUAAGACAAUACAGUACUAGGUUCACCAUAAUACAAACCAUAAUAAAAGAAACCAUAGUUCAU
rnacentral:lncRNA from 1 species